rnacentral:misc_RNA from 1 species
AGUUGGUGCAGUGUUGUUGGAUGUGGGUAGUAAACCAUAUUUUAUUUAAAAUACAGAUAAAUCAUAUUCUAUAUUAAUAAAAACUCCGUUAUCAAGAGCGAGAGUACGGUUUGAUAUAUAAAUGUGACAGCAUAAUUAACAUUUGAAAUUUAGAAGCAGUUGAUACUGCGCCAUAAUAUAAAAAUGACCACAACAAAUGAGAAUACGGGUAUGGAGGCUGAAGAAUCGCUUUUAUAUUCAGCACGACACGGUGAGAUAUCUGUGGUCAAGGCCCUUUUAGAAGCGAAGAAAGAAGGAAAACUAACUUUGAACAUUAAUUGCAAAGGUAAGAGCAAGAGUAAUCUAGGAUGGACACCUCUCCACUUAGCAACAUACUUUGCUCACAAAGAAGUAGCAGAAGCCCUGCUGGAGGCCGGAGCAGAUGUGGAUGAGGUUAAUGAAAAUGGUGACACUGCACUGCAUAAAGCAUCGUUCAUUGGAAAUGAAGACCUGGUGAUCCUAUUGCUCAACCACCAAGCGGACGUGAACAUAAUGAACGGGGAGGGCAAGACACCAAUUGACGUGUGCAAGACGCAAGACGUGCAACGCUUGCUGGAAGCGGCCGACCGCGCGAUGCGCUACGAACGAGAGCGGAAACUGCUCACGGCCGCCAAGGAGGGGUGGGUCGAUGAGCUGCAGGAGUUGUUAAGCUGUUCCAACCCCCCCAAUAUAAACUGCGUGGACGCGCAAGGCAACUCGUGCCUGCACUGCGUCGCGUACCGCGGCCACGCGCGACUUGCUGUGCUGUUGUUGCAAAACGGGAUUGACACCACACUGAGGAAUAAUAGCGGUCGCUUAGCAAUAGAUCUGGCGAAAGACAACGAAAUGCGCGAAGUGCUGAGCGUGAGGCCGGUGCAGAAGUUGCAGCGAACCGCCGCCCGGUUCGAAGGACCGCUGCUCAAACGGUCCAGGUUUUUGGGCUGGAGACCCGUGUGGGCUGUGCUGCAACGCGGCGUGCUGCUGUACUACGGCAGCCGGGCGGAGGCGGCGCGCGAGGGCGGGCGCUGGCGCGACCGGAAGUACCUCGACGCGGCCAAGCUGAGCGCGCCGGACGCCGAGCCGGCGCUGCUCGUCGUGGCGUUCAGCGACGGCGAGUCGCAUCGCCUGGCGGUGCAGCCGGGCGACAGCGUCUCCGCGUGCAGGCAGUCGUGGAUAACUGCUUUUAAAGAGCACAUAGCGUAUUCCGGUCACUACUUGUGGGCGGGAGUCACACCGGAUUCGGCCAAGGAAGCCACAGAGGAUCUAGAGGACGAAUGCAAACCUCUUGGCUCCAUGCAGGACGCAUUAACAACAGCCACAAACAACUUGGCUCUAUUGGACACUCAGCUUCGCGAAUGUUCCGCGAUACUGGCAGCCCUGGACAAAACCCCGCAAGGGCAUUCCCUACUCCACUCGGCGUAUAUGCGUUUCCAGCACGCGUGCGGUACGGGGCAGACGGCGCUGGGCGCGCUGCGGCACUGCGCCGCGCUCGUGGCGCAGGCGCGCGAUAGAGACGCCGCCGCGCUCGCUAGAGAGGUGGAACGUAACAGAGUGUUGGAGGAAGCCUUAGCCGCGCUGGCUAGAACACACCACGCUUUAGAAAUGUCGGUAGCGGAAGAAUUGACCAAAGCGCUACUUGUUUCAGAGCAAACGAAAGAAAAAGACGCCUCGUUCGCACAACGAGUCGAAGGAGAACUUCUUCGAUGUGUAUGACGAGUCUUCAGAUGAAGACGACACAUUGGUGACGGCUGGUCUCUCGAGUCCACUGGGCGCGCUCAGUCCAUGGGGCAGCAGUCCAGAUCUCACGCGACGGACGCCCAUCGGCAGUGACAAUGGCGACAUAACACCAACGAACGAG